CAUUUUGAAUGGAAGGAAGUCAUGGUCAAUUUAGAAGCAAAUUAGGUUGAAAGGCAAUAAAUUGUAGGCAAAUUUGCUAGAAAGAACAUGAAAUAUAGAUUAGAGUUGGAAAGAGAAAACUCAUAACUAGCUAUAUGUAAGUUAUUUGAAGAGCUAACAAAAAAUAACAGAUGUGUGGUGGACCUAUAUUGCUAAAAAUAGAUUACUUGGAAAUUAGGCAA
rnacentral:lncRNA from 1 species